UUCGCGGAUCGAUGGUGUUUCUGUUGUGAUCGGACGUGCUUUUCUUGCGCUCGCGAUUUGUGUGCUGUUUUUCGCUGUUUGCGAACUUUUCGGAAGAAGAUUAAAGAUUUUUCAGGUAAGUCUUAGUCCAUAUUGACCCUAGACGUAAGAAUUUAUUUAAUAUUACUUGGAGAAUCGGUCCUACAAGACAUCUCGGCACAUCGUUCGAUGAUCAGCCGUUUUCAUUUUGAAUCUUUUAGAUUUAAAAAGGCAGCCGCGGUGAGCAUUUUGCUUUUCUCGGAAGAAUUUAGACAUUAAGCUUUUGUUUUAAUCGACUAAUUGCAAAUUUUCUCUUUUUUUUUUUCUUUCAGAAUGAAGACCUUUGUGUGGUUUCGCCAGAGGUUCCGACGGAAGAAUGCGAUGGCGCCGGAGGGAGGGGGUUCCUCGGACGGCUCCGAUGAGACGUUCGAGGACCGUGAGCUCGACUGGGUCUCUGUCGAAUCGAUUAGUUCGAUGUCGUUUGAGGCCGCCGAGCGAGAGGCAGCGAGUGAUGACGACCUUCCCCUAGUGCGUGUGGCGUUGGACUCUCCCGGAUGCGGGAGAGUUCUGAGUCCAUUCCACUUGGCCAAGGUCGUCAGGGAUCAGCCGGCCUAUGGCCUUGUUAAGGAAGGCAUAGGGAGUACGGAGUCCUCUUGGAGUUCGUCUAUUUUCGCGAGGUCUGCCUCUCGGUCCGUGCUCACGAUCACGUCGCCAUCGUCUUUCGGAAGUCGGAGGACAGCGCCGCUGAAGUCGAGGAACCGCGGUUUUGUUGCUGUGGGAGGUUCCCUUGGCCUAGGCGGUGAUCCUCUUCGAUUUUUUCCAAUUCGUCCUUUGCACUCGGAUGCGACAUUCUGACCGGAUUCGACACUUUUCACCCGGACAUGACCUCUUUACUCGGACUUGGUCUUCUCUUACCCGGAUGUUCUCACGGACUUGUCUCCCAAACGUGACCCUCGAUCGACGACAAUGGAUUUGACUUCCGAUUGUGACCACCCGGACGCAACAUUCGGCCUACCUUUCUUCCCAAACAGCUGUUAUGAGGAUUGAGCUUCCGGUUACGCUAGGCUAGGCUAGGUCAGGUCCUUCGCUCUUCUCAUAACACUGUUCGGGAAGAAAUACUGUCUGAUAAAGGAACAUUUGGGAGAAUCUCCCUCCCCAACUUUACCGCGAAGUGGCCAUUUAUCGUGCAAGUGAAUAUUUUCCGAAAUCUCCGAUGACAUGCCGAAGAUGUUCUUCGAUCACACACAUACACACACGCACAAACAUAACAUCACUGUACACGAAGAUAUACACCGUUUAACCUUUACUCGAAUUAUCGCACUCACGCACUUACACUUCAAGCGCCUCGUUCUGUGUAAUUCCACACAAUGAAACAACCCGAACACUCGCUUCCCACAAAUCUAGCCCCUGGGUCCUCGUUCCGGGAAGUGGAAACGCCAAUUUUAAAGAUUAAAAGACUUUAAAUUGGCGGCCGAAGGGGCUCUGGUAAUUACAAUUUGCACUCAUUACACAGAAUUUCUGGUAUUCGCUGCAAUAAUCGAUUUGUGAUGACAGCGGAAUCCGGAUUUUCGACACUUUACUGUAAUUAAAAUAAAUAUGAAAACUAUUAAGAAAUUACACGUGUAUGUAACAAAAAUAAGAAAUGGUUUUAUAUCAAUAAAUUAUUAUAAGUGUCGAUCUGCUUUUUAUUUUAUACAAAAUAUAAAAUUAAGAGAAAUUAAGUUUAUUUUUAAAAAUUGUACUCUUGUAAAGUGUACGCAAAGGCAUGAUUUUCAGGUGGAUAGAUAAAUGGAAAAUGCCACUAUUUUAUAUUAAACCCAAAUUUCAUUUUUUAAUUUAACAUGAAAAUCACUUCAGAUAAUCAGAUUAAUUUCGCCAAAAAUCGAGUUAAGUCACCUUUGGCCCUGCCGUCUGGCAGGAGCCACGAAAAUUACCAAAAUAUUGUUUAGUGAAGGUGUGCGUUAGAAAUAAAAUACUGUAACUUAUUAUUUUAGGAUUUUAUUGUCUUUUUAACAUUAAAAAUACUUUUACAUAAAGGUAACUUGUAAGAAAAUUGCAACUAGGGCCUCAUAAUCCUCUCCUGUAUUAAGUACUGGCAUUUCUGCUUUGAUAUAACCUGUCAGAAUAAAACUAAUUAGUAGGAAACUUAAUAAAAACCAAUUUGAAUUGACUGUAAAAUCCUACUAGUUACUCCAAUACCUGAACAGCUGAUAUCAUGUACAGCUUUUUCCGAAUACAAUUUCACGUUAUAUGCAAUUCCCUAAAAUUAAAUAACAAAAAUAGUUUUCUAAAACAAUUUGUUUUGAUAUUAUUUUAAGUCUGUAAGUCUGCUUGGAAUAAAACAAAUUUUUCACAUUGGCAGACAACUCUUCACUCAUUGGAAAUCUUUUGAAAUUCUCAGUCGAUGAUGCCUAUUUUU